rnacentral:rRNA from 1 species
CCUACGGGUGGCAGCAGUGAGGAAUAUUGGUCAAUGGCCGGAAGGCUGAACCAGCCAUGCCGCGUGAAGGUCAGUGCCCUAUGGGCGUUAAACUUCUUUUGUGCGGGAGCAAUAAUGGUCACGUGUGGCCAGACGAGAGUACCGUACGAAUAAGCAUCGGCUUACUUCGUGCCAGCAGCCGCGGUAAUACGGGGGAUGCAAGCGUUAUCCGGAUUUAUUGGGUUUAAAGGGUGCGUAGGCUGUGAGGUAAGUCAGCGGUGAAAUGCCCCCGCUCAACGGGGUGAAGUGCCAUUGAUACUGCCUGGCUGGAAUGCGGAUGCCGUGGGAGGAAUGUGUGGUGUAGCGGUGAAAUGCAUAGAUAUCACACAGAACACCGAUUGCGAAGGCAUCUCACGAAUCCGCGAUUGACGCUGAUGCACGAAAGCGUGGGUAUCAAACAGGAUUAGAUACCCUGGUAGUC